GCCAUACCAACCCUGAGUCAAUGCUCAAGAAUUCAGGAAGUAUAAUUUAUACAUUAAGGUCCUGGAUGACACUAUGUAAAUAUAGCAGUCAUGGAUGACUUGGAGCACAGUGUUUUUAUAGCAGAGCAAGAAUGGAACUGUUUCUGUGAGGAGAGUGAAGAAUGCUCUAUCCAGCAGGCUGGGCUUGCAGGCCUGGAUGACUCGGGCCUCAGUGACACUGAUGACGAUAAAUGCUCUGCACAAGAGCCUGUUCUUCUUCUUCAGACAAAUCCUGACAAGCCCAGUGAGGAACAAGGUGCAACCGCACAAAUACAGGACAAAGCUGAGGACUGCAACAUGAGAGACCUGUCCGUGGAUUCUGAAUGCUUUAGCUGUGAGACAGAUAGAGGCAAGCAUGCUGAACAGACUUCACAGAUCAGUUUGACUGCUAACGCAACCACAUGCACAUGCUUGAACACAGAUUGCAGCGUGAGUGGUAGUGACAUAGUUCCCUCUGACCAGCAACACAGGACUUCAGACACAGAGAGUGUUAAAGACCACGAUCAGUAUCGCAGCAAGGGUAAUUUAGGUCAAGCCACAGGGGAGCUAGUCACCAUGACAUCUGCUCCAAGUAUCCAGCACACUGGUAAAGUUUGUAGCUCAGAAGUCACAAUGGUGAUGGGGAGUUCAGAAACACCAAAAAAGGAGAAAGAACGGUGGUUUGUCACAGUAAAUGACAGUCCAGCUCACCCUAGAAUAUACCAUGGAACUCCAGGCCAAAACAAAAGGAAGAGAAAAAUGUUCUAGGAAGUUAACUGAAAAAAAAAAGAGUAGCAAAAAGGCCGUGUACUAUAUCAAAUAAAGAAAAAAAGCAGAUAAUUUAUAUUUCAAUAGAUUACCUGGUAACGGAAAUGAAGAGAUCAUUUCAGGAUCAGCCAAUAUCCAAAAAAUAGUUUUAUCCCCAUAAAAGAGCAUGAAGUGGAAGAUUGCGAAAAGGCCUCCAUUACAAGCAUUAACUUUACUUUAACUGUAAACCCAUCUGCUGCUAAAUUUGAAAACUUAAAUUGUGCAGAUGUUCCUACAGAUAUGCCAGAAAAUAACUGUUCUAUUUCUUUAAAUUCUCCAACCCCACUAAUUCUUGCACAUAAUUUACAAUUACAAAUUGAUAUUCUAAAUGGUUCCAUGACACAACUUGCAUAUGACUAAUACACAGUUAACUAACACGAAAGUAACACUGAAAUCGCCACUCAUGAUCAACCAGUGACCAACAUAUUAUGCCAUGUUUAUGAUGACACAGGAGAAAGUGGUUCAGGAUUCACCCUCGCUUCAAUAACUGUCCCACCAGAUAAGACAAUGAGUAUUUAACACAUUUUCAAAAAGAAGAGAAGCACUCCUCUCUCUCAGAGAAUUCGGCAUCAACUAAUGAAAGCCUGGAGGUAGCUAUAAAUCCAUCUCGUCCAAUAUAUGCCCUUUCAUCCUUUUGGGAUGAAAUGGAAAAGUUCGCAAUAAAUGACAUCUUACAUCUUAGAGUAGCUAAUGACAAAUGAAAGAAAAUGUUCAUCCUGAGGCGUGAUGUCCAAGACAGAUGUCUGGUGAAUUCCAAAGACAGGAUUUUAUAAGAGAGUAGCUUAACAGGUGACACUGCAGAUUCAGACUGUUUCACACAUUUAGAUGACUCUAAACCAGACCACUCAAGCUGUGAAAUUCCUUUCACAAAAAACUUUCUCUGAUUUUGAUAAUGAAUUUUUACAAAGUGCAAACCGUAGCCCGGAGUCUCAGAAUGUCCAAGAGCCCAUCAAUAUACAAGAGCUCUUACUAGAACAAGUAAAUGAGUUAACGGUAAUAAACAAUAAAAGUGAUACAGAACAUUUUAUAAUGCUAUGACCUCAGGAUGGAAUCCCUCUUUACCUGUGUCCAGAUGCAGAGGCACAAAGCUCAUGUCUUGCAUCUGAUCAGGACAGCAGUGGAAAUCCUUUUGAAUGGGAAACCUUCAGGAAAACAUCUUCCCUUGUUUUGUCAGUUGUCAAUUCUCUAGAUGAUCAUUACCUGUUAACUUUAUCUGACAUUUUUGCUAAAGACAUUGCAGAAGGACUUGAGACAAGGAGCCCAGAUGGGCACAGCUGUCAUCUCAUUUCCUUACUCACAAUACCUUUCUGUGCCAAAGACUUAUGAUGAUUUCUUUUCAGACUUUGAGGUUGCAAAUCUUUUCUUUCCUUCAGUACAAGAUAAAACAAUUCCCAUUUUCUCAUCCCCACUUUUCUUGAUGAGAGAUCUGGUAUUACCUGAGGUGGAGGAACUGAGCAAGUCAGAUGCUGAAAAUGAGAAUUCCCAAAUACAGGUCAUGGCUCGCUACAGCAGCCAGCCAGAAAAGUCCACAAGUUACUUGCCAAACUUUAACUUUUUCACAAACCAGAGGAGAAACUGGAGAAGCAUUCUUUCCUUGAGAAGAAUCAGAUUUAUGGGGAAGGGAAGUAGCUGGUGCCAAAAAAUAUGCUCUUGGAUUUUCCCACAAGAAGCAAAAAAGGAAACAUCAUAUGUCUCAAAAGUCCAGUCAAUGUCACCUCUGCUUCCCCUGGAGGCCAAAGCACUUGUAGAGUUUGUAGAUCAGCAGGAAAAUAUUCAACAUGGUGUAUCAAUUUCAAAAUCUUCUUUUCUAUAGGUCAAGAAGAUAAUUCAAGGAGAAUAAUUUAUGGACAUACAGAUUUACUGAUGCAACCUUAUUUCAGUAUAUUUAGGAAUUUAUUUAGGUAAGAUAAUCACAUACAAUUAACAUUUUUCUACUUAAUUUGUUCAUAGCUCCGCUGGCAAAUGUGAGUGCAAUAUCUGCUAUCCAGUAUUUGCGGCAGUAUGUGAAAACAGACACAACUAAUCAUGAUCCAUGAUCCAUAGACUCUUGGAUCUUUCCAAGAAAUUCUCUGAAGUGGGCCAAUGUAAAAAGAAGGGUUAAUUCUGCAUAAAUUCAUGGCAACAAACAUUUUUCUUUUGAUAAAUAUAUAUUACAACAUACACCCAUACAGAUUUAUGUGAUCCAAAACACUUUACUUAACAUAGUUUGUCAGCAGCUAUGUCAUUUAAAAUAGACAGCAUCCAAACCUUAGGGGAAAUCCAUUAUUUCCUCCUAUUUACUGUAUUGUUAUUAGAGUAACAUUUAUUCUACUAUAGUCCAGGUAUUGCCUAGAUAUUAGGUUUACAGAGGGCACUAGUAGGAUUUAUGUCAGAGAUAGUUAGAACUGAAGAUGUGCUAAACAUUGGUAGCUUGUGUAUAUGGUUAUGAAUGAAAAAAUACCAAUAGAUUGUUACUGAAAACUGCAACAAUAGAACAAUUUAUGUUUUUAAUAAUAAUAAUAAUAAUAAUAAUAGUGUAAUAUUGCAAAGAAUGUGGAUAUUUGUCAAAAAUGUUUGUCAGUACCUUCAUGGUUUAAAAAAACUGAGCACAUGGAACUAUGGAACAGCAAGUAAUGUACCUCGCUAGACCAGUUUAAAUGUGAAGCAUACAUUUUUAAAAACGAAUUAAAGCUGCUUUUCAUAGCAAAUACAAUGUUUUUAUUUUUGGUUUUUUAACAAAACUGAGGAAGAUUUAUUUAACAGAGUAAUGUAUUAAAACCUUUGAAUUCUUAUGGUUUACUUGGACAAGCUGGUAUUGCUAUGGUCAUACAGAAUGGAUUUUACUUUUUAAUAACUGUCCGAAUAAUCUUUCAAAAAUAUAGUGUUAACCUGUUUACUACUGACCAUGAAUCAAGACAAUAACUAUUAUUAUUUUCCUAUAACUUUUACUUCUAAAGACUGAAUUUGUAUUUUAUAGAGGGAAAACUUUUAAACAGCAUUCAAACAGCAGUUACAGUGGGGUGGGGUUCAAGCCCCAUCACUGCCAAGUUGCCACUUUUGGGGUCCCUGAGCAAGGCCUUUAAUCCUGAAAAGCUCAAGUUGGACUCAGUCAUAAUUGUAAGUCGCUUUGGAUAAAAGCGUCAGCUAAAUGCCAUAAACGUAAAUGUAUAUAGGACUGAAUGCAGUAUUAGGGAAAUGCAUGUAACUGUGACAUCAUAUUAGUAAUAUUUAUUAACCAAUUUAUUUGCAGCUAAGGGAGAGUGCUUGAAAGCAUCUAUACUAAUCAAAUUUACUUUUUAUUUUUAUUCAUCAAUAAAAUUAGAAAAAAUGUAGUUUGAUUUUUAAAAGUACAGUAAACAUACAAUCAAAUAAGAUUUGAUUUUUGAUGCAAACAUAUGUACGUGCUUCAUAAGGAGAUACAUUCAAUAUUGUUUUAUUGUAGAAAAUGCUGGAUUGGUUGGCAGAUGUGCAAGCAAAAUUUUGACAUCAGUAGGUUUUGAAUAAUAUUGUUAAUAGUUCUAACUUAUGGUUAUUCAAGCACACAAGAAGAAAGACACUGCUUUUUAUUGUCACAGCUACCUUUAUAUUGUUACUUAGACAUAACACCAUAUCCAGAGAUAUAUGACAUGAUGUCAAGGAAUUAGUUAUUUGCUAUUAAUACAGUUUCACUUGUAUUGCAAUAAACAGUCCAAAAACUAUUCUUUCUCUUUCUUUCUCUUUUCUCUAUGUUAUAUAAACAAACGUUAAAAGGGUAAGACAGUGGAAUAUAGUUGACAUACAGGCCAAUAAGGAAUUACUACUACAGUGUUAUACACUAAUAAGAGUGUCCCCUCUAAGAUAUGCCUGAAAAGAGGAUGUUAAAGAAAGGGUAAGAUACUGUAUGUAAAGCAUGCACUUUCUGCACAUAGGUUACUUAAGUCCAAAUCUACCAUUGGAACAUUUUAAUUUACAAAUAAUGUAAUAUAUUAUUUGAUACAUAUACUAUUUACAAUCUUAUAGAGAGUAGGAUUCAAUAAAUUCUGAAACAUUUUGCUAUAUUGUGUAUAUAAGGAUACAGGACAGCACCUUGCAAAUACUAAAUAAGUCUAGUGCUUUAGCACUGUAACAAAGUUUCAUUAGAUUUCCUUUUUAACAGUACAAACUGCCAAGUAAUAUUCAUGCAAGGAAAACAAUGUCAGUGUGCUUGGAAAAGGCUAGUUAUUUUAUACAAUACAACAGGGAAAACUCUUAAGUGCAGAAAAGAGGGGGGGAAAUGAUCCCAAUACAGGGUUAUCUAAAGAAAAAGGAAAAAAACAAACAAACAAAAAAAAAAAAAAAAA